rnacentral:rRNA from 1 species
AAUCAACGCUGGCGGCGUGCCUAACACAUGCAAGUCGAACGAGAAAGGGGACUUCGGUCCCUGAGUACAGUGGCGCACGGGUGAGUAACACGUGACUAACCUGCCCUCGAGUGGGGAAUAACUUCGGGAAACCGAGGCUAAUACCGCAUAAUACCUACGGGUCAAAGGAGCAAUUCGCUUGAGGAGGGGGUCGCGGCCGAUUUGUUAGUUGGCGGGGUAAUGGCCCACCCAAGACAGUGAUCGGUAUCCGGCCUGAGAGGGCGCACGGACACACUGGAACUGAAACACGGUCCAGACUCCUACGGGAGGCAGCAGUGGGGAAUUUUGCGCAAUGGGGGAAACCCUGACGCAGCAACGCCGCGUGGAGGAUGAAGUCUCUUGGGACGUAAACUCCUUUCGAUCGGGACGAUUAUGACGGUACCGGAAGAAGAAGCCCCGGCUAACUUCGUG